CUAUCAACACUCCAGGCCAAGCAGCAAUACUCACCUAGAUGGAAAAGACAACCUUCAAGAAGCAAGCCAGAGAUGCUACACAGUACCACUACAAGCCAAUGACGAGCCUCAAGCCUACAAAUGAGAGAGCUCCAAGCAAAGCUGCACUCUACAUCCAAGGUACCUGAGUCUGCAAGUUAGCCUAAGGAUCAGCCUUCAUGCCAGAGCAGCAUAGAAAGGACCAGCUGAAACCAGAGACGGUUAAACGUGGUUCAUUCAGUUCAUAUUCAUUUGAAGAAGUAAAGACUUAUGGAGAUCUUCCUCCAGGAGCUUUUCCAUUAGAUGUAAAGUAAGGACCAUCUUCUUCCUGUGAUGCUACCAGAAAUGGGCUCCCUUCCUUUUUCUUCUCCUCUAUUCCCAAGCCAAGACAGCAUGAUGCUAUCUGUUACAGAAAUGAGAGGAGGAAUGUGGCUCAUCUUAAUGAGACAAAAAUUAUCUCUCAUGGAGCCUAAAAAUGAAGAUGUUUCUGCAGAGAGAGGAUUUGUGGACAGUUGUAAGCAAUCCUCUAGCAGAUCUCAAUGAGGAAAAGUAAAAUGAAAUAGCAUAGCCAGCAUACUUUUGUGCUUGGAAGAUGUAUGUUGUGUUUAGUUCUCUUGAUGAUACAUGGGACAUGUUAGUAGCAAGUCUUGAGUCUAUGAAUGUGAAUUAACUAUGAGUUAUGUAACCAGGAGACUUUUGGAAGAAGAACAGAAAAGAUUAGAGAAAAAUGUUGCACACCAGAGAAAUGAUAGUAAUUUACAACUCCGACAGAAAGACGACACAUUCCAAGGAGAUAACAAGGUGAGAGAGAAAGUCUGUGUAGUAAAAUGCUGCUUUGCAUGUGGAUCCACUGAACGUAUCUGUAGAAAUUGCCCAGUAAGAUGAUUAAAAGAUACAAGGAUGAGACAGAAAGCACAAUGACAGAAGAAGGAAGAUGCACAGAUUUCUAUGGUGACAGCAACCGGAAAGACAUUAAAGAUGUUUGGUUGUUGAA